AUUUAUAUAAAUUGAUAUGUAAACUCAGAAAUUAUAUAAAAAUUAAUUUCGUUUUUUAAAUGGAAUUUGAUCUGAUUUUUUUCUGUCAGUAAUAGUUUAGAUUCAAUAUAUAAUCUAUUUUAGAUGUCUCACAAUUCUUUAUAUGGAUUAUAAAUGAUAUAACUUCUAUUAUUCAUUAUGUUAAAUAUAAUUAAUUGUAUAAUGAUAUUUCAUUUUAAACAUUAGAAAAUAUAUUGAAAUUGUUACAUAAUUAAAAGUGAUGAGUAGGGCAGAUGCUGCAGUGAUGUCACAUUUGUGAGAAUACGUGAUAUGUCAGGAAGUCAAUAAUAGAAAGGCUGAUGCUCCUAUUAUGGGAUCUCUAUGGGAAUAUGUUAUCGCUAAAGACAUGGAAAUAGGG